rnacentral:rRNA from 1 species
GAUGAACGCUAGCUACAGGCUUAACACAUGCAAGUCGAGGGGAAACGACAUCGAAAGCUUGCUUUUGAUGGGCGUCGACCGGCGCACGGGUGAGUAACGCGUAUCCAACCUGCCCAUCACUUGGGAAUAACCUUGCGAAAGUAAGACUAAUACCCAAUGACAUCCCACGAAGACAUCUGAAUGGGAUUAAAGAUUUAUCGGUGAUGGAUGGGGAUGCGUCUGAUUAGCUUGUUGGCGGGGUAACGGCCCACCAAGGCAACGAUCAGUAGGGGUUCUGAGAGGAAGGUCCCCCACAUUGGAACUGAGACACGGUCCAAACUCCUACGAGAGGCAGCAGUGAUGAAUAUUGGUCAAUAGGCUAGAUCCUGAACCAGCCAAGUAGCGUGCAGGAUUACGGCCCUAUGGGUGGUAAACUGCUUUUAUAAGGGAAUAAAGUGGGUCUCGUGAGACUUUUUGCAUGUACCUUAUGAAUAAGGACCGGCUAAUUCCGUG